GCCAGCAGUCAUAUCACCCUGUAGCCCAAGACUGGUUGCCCACUGAAGCUAAGCAGGGUUGAGCCUGGUCAGUACCUGGAUGUGGGACCUCCUGGGAAAACUAGGUUGCUGCUGGAA
rnacentral:rRNA from 1 species